rnacentral:rRNA from 1 species
GCCAGCAGCCAUAUCACCCUGCAACCCACAACUGGCUUUAAAGCUAAGCAGAUGAGAGCCUGGUCAGUACCUGGAUGACAGACCUCCUGGGAAAAACUAAGGUUGCUGCUGGAA